UUUCGACAUUUUGCGUCAUCGGUAGAUUAGAAAGUAGAAUAAAUUGUAUUGUGCAGGGUAGUUAAUAGUUAGAAUGCAGAAUUGAGAAUCUCGACUCCGACUUGGAUUAUUUACAGAUGACAUCCCAAAUCUAGCAAACGUGGUCAUAGUUUUUCGCCCACAGUCGUAUCAGCUACCCUUUCAACUAAUAGAUCAAGAAUAAUGAAUUGAAACUACUUUGAUGGAUGUAUCUAAUUCGGCCGGAAAAUGUAUUCGAUAUAAGAUGAGAAUCGCGUAGUGAUUCGGCUACAAAUUUAUUCGCUUGUUUGAGACUGGACUGGAAAACAUGAGCGAUAAUGGUACUCAAGCUACAUUAAACGAUACGGAUGCUGACACUGUUGACGAACACGCCGACCAAACUGAAAUACUUUCUCAAGUACCGUAGAAACUACUGCAGAAGACUCUCACACCACAGAAUUACUUCAAUCCGGUACCGAACACGAUAACGAAACGCAGAUUUCUCCUGAAACUCGAGUUGACGAAUUUUUACCAACUAUAAUUGAUAGUCGUGGCGUUUGUGACGAUUCUUCGAAUCUAGAAACUUCACGAACUAAUGCAGUUAAUGCAACUAUCGCUGCAAAUGAAAAUAAUGUAGCGUGCGUUAUCGAUGACGCUGACGGUGCUGAUACUCACUCGAUUACCAACACCGAAGAACCUUCCAAUUGUGAUAAUACUAAUAAUAAAUCGGAUACGGUUUUGAAUUCGAACGUAGUAAAUAAGAAAGAAUCACGCGAUGAGGACAUUGAUAACGAUUACAUGUUGGUCGACUUGAUGAUAUCGGUAUGUACUAUGUACUUCGUUUCACGUCGGAAAUUGAAAUCAAAGAGGAACGAAUCAACGAGCGGAAUUUAUUAAAUACGAACGGUCCCCUGAUUGGAGCCACGAAUACAUCCGAGAGACGACGACGGAAACCUGCUCCGAACGACGACGACGGGAACUACUUUUUACGCGGAGCAGCAAUUUCGUGAACCAGAUCUUGAUCCGAAUCUGAAUCAUCCACCUCCUCUACGUGAACCAGAAACAGAUCUUCAUCCGAAUCUGGAUCAUCCACCUGCUGUUCGUUCAGCCUGUCAUCAAUGAAAUUGAACGGAGACGGUAGAUGACCAGCGCGACCACGUGCUCGUCCAGCUCUGCUUCCUCUCGGUCUUCUAGCGCCGCCGCCGCCUCGCGCUUGUUCAGCGCCGCCGCCUCGCGCACCUCUAGCGCCGCGUGCACCGCCGCCUCGCGCUUGUUCAGCGCCGCCGCCUCGCGCACCUCUAGCACCGCGUGCGCCGCCACCUCGCGCUUGUUCAGCGCCGCCACCGCGGGCACCUCUAGCGCCGCCACCGCGGGCACCUCUAGCGCCGCCACCGCGGGCACCUCUAGCGCCGCCACCGCGGGCACCUCUAGCGCCGCGCGCUCUUCUGUUACCGCCGCGCGCUCCUCUGGCACCACCGCGCACUUGACCAGCGUCACCCUGAGCAUCGGCGUUGUCACCGUCGCCACCAGGUGGAGGAUUUCCCCCGUGUAGGAGUGGCAAUGCAGGAGGUGGCGGUAUAUCUGCGUCGUCAUCUGCGAAUUGACGGAUCACCGGUUCAUCAUCUGCAAUAGAAACUAAGUAAGUAACAAUAACGAAAACAGUCGUGUAUUACUUGGAAACACUUACCCCAAUCCAGCUCUAUAUUUAUUACUUCGAUUACGUCGUGUCCGUCUACAGCUGCCACGGGGUCUUCCUCUGGUAGUCGGUAAAAAAAGAAUUAGUUUCGAUUCUAAGAAAAAAAUAAUAAUUUCUUGUAAUGAUUACAAACCUCGCUCUCGCGCGUUGUCCCUCGCCGCAUCUGCCUCUGGCGCUGCUACAUCAGGCGCAUGGUGGCCUAAAAAUCGGAGCACUUCUUCGGCAGUUCUAACGCCCCUGUCAUACUCAUCCCAAGCACGGGUCAAGUCACGCUCAUGCGCUUCUUGUCGUCUGUCUGCCGGCCAACGAACUUGCUGCGCUUGCCCGGCUCGCAGGUAUCUCCCAUACUGGGCAUUGCUCACCUCCAUCAUUCCGUCUGAAAAUGUUUUAUAGCCUAAUAAAUAUCACUCAAUACCUACCUACAUGACGAUGGUGGUGUGUCCACUUACUCAGAAAAGUAUCGUAACUGGGACGGUGCUGCCGUACCGUCAUCUGCUCCGGUAGGCGCCUAUUGAGUGCUUCCAUUUCGUUGUUCGUCCUUCUUGGUUGACCAUAUACAGAAAGUAGUGCACGUCCUGUGAACAGAAUGUAUUAAUAGCAAUAUUCUACACAAUACGUAUAUUACUUGUGUGUGUACUCACGGGGAAACCAAUACGCCCGUAAGUAUUGGUAAAAGCUUUGCGCUUCCGGCGACUGCGAUUCUCUCACAUACUCCCGCAGUAUGGAGAAUCCCAGGGGGAUAUCGUCUGCGGGGAGCAGAGGGAGCGCGGUGGCCAUUUCGUAGAUCCUGCGAAGCACUGGAUUGGCUUGCACAAUGGCGGUGGUGAGUCCGUGCGCUGCGCGAUUUCGCCUCAGCGCCUGCACGUAGUGAAAAUAACAUCCCAAUAAUUGUGCUAGUGGCCAAACAAUGCGCACAGCUCGCUGUAAUGCCAGCUCGAAGUCGGUAAUUACUAUGCGUGGAAGCAUAUUCUGCACUACCCGCUGCAAUGCCCUGAAUACCUCCACAUAGCAGAUGGUAUUACGCCGCCUCAUCACAGCCCAGGCAACCAUGUACAUCGUUCCGAACGCGGAGGCCAUAAUCACCAGUAACUGUGUGGCCUCCGGAAUGUUCGGGCAUGACCGGAACGUACCAUCAAUACUAAAGAUGGGGUACCCACUGUCGAAGUUCCGGAGACACAAACAGGACGGAGUGCUGUCCCACGCUUUCUACAACGAGGGAAUUGCCGUUGGGCCGGGUGAUUAGACCGUGAUAUGCCUGGUUGGUUCGCAAUAAUUCCCCGAAUUGCCUCACAGUUGCAGGCGGCGGCGGGACCACUGUUAACCUCCAUCUGUCCAUCGACCGCCUCAUCGACUCUAAAUUCAUCCUCUGCAAAACUGCAUCAGGGCGCCUGUCAAGAAAUUAAACAUGCUUAUGGAAUGAAAAAAGUAUGAAUUGACUAGUCGUGAUAAUAUCUCAAGAAGUGCGCAUUUUUUAACUCAACUAUUAGCGGAAAAAUUCGGUCGAUUUUGGCGGAAUGAAAGUAAUUUGAUGGCAGGUGCGCAGUGUCAGCUGCCAAAUUCGUAUACCGAAAUGCAGAAGAAUGGUUUAAAGGAAUGGAGCUGGUUGGACUUGUUAAUCCGUUGGAUAUGAGUAAGGUUCGUAAAUGAUUAUUGAUAGGUAUUGUUUUAAAUCCGGAAUUGUCUUUCCUGUUCGUACAGCAACGUUUUAUUCUAUUUGCGGGGAAAAAAAUCCUCGCUGUUCUUUUGCAUAACGAUUUGUGUUCCCAGUCCCUUAUUUUACGCGCUUAUGAGCACCAUAAUUAUUCCAGGUCGGUCGAAACUUUACCUCUCAGAGGUUCUGAUAAUUUACAAAUUAACAACCCUGUAGAGGUUUUAGUGACCAACUUAACUAUAGGAUAUGACCCUGCGAAAAUUCGCAACAAGCUGAAACGUUUUUCGGAAAACUGCGGUGGUCGUGUUGGAAUGAUAACCAAUCAAACUGCUACCAUAAGUUUUUCAGCAAUGGAAUUUGCUACUAGUAGGGAAAAAGAAUAACAUUUGCGGAAACUUCGAUCACAUUGUGCCUAACCAGAAAAUGUAUCAUUGUCCGAAUAACGAGAAUUUUCUUAUCGUUCCCAAAUAUCCGAUCAAUGAUCAGAGGAAUUUCUUACGGUACGAAAGACCAGCUUCGUGAAACGGUCAACGUAGCGAUAACUACACUGUUCCUUAUACAAUUCAAGAGAAUUUCCCUCAUCCUAAUAAUUUACCACAUGGAAGUUUCGAAUUGUUUUGAUACCGUUCAUUGAAUUUAGAAGUAUACGAUGGAAGGUGGUGGACAAGUUUUGGCUGCUUGCGACGUUACUGCCAAGUGUUUGCCUCAAGAUCCGUAUGUGAUGGCCCAACGUAAGAAUACUUUGUUUUUCUCUUUUUUUCGCUGUUACGAUAACGCGAUUGACGAAUGUUUAUUUUUUCAACGGAAAACUUUGAUCGAUUUUGGGAGAAUGAAAGUAAUUUGAUGGCAGGUGCGCAGUGUCAGCCAAAUUCGUAUAUCGAAAUGCAAAAGAACGGGUUACCGCAGAUAACGAUAUUGAAAAGGAAUGCAGCUGUACCUGUUAAUCCGUUGGACUUGGAUAUGAAUAAGAGGUAUUUUCAUCCUAUUUAUACAAAUCAAGCUACAAUCAAUCAAUCUACUCAAACAAAUGGACCGGUUGAAUUACAUGUAACGAACUUUGAUUUUCAACGCGUUUGGUCAGAUUUUGAAUUUAUCUGCUUCCGGCGGCGGAGGAGUCAUUCUGUCUUCGUUGGAAUUAAUGGAAUCUUCGGAUCAUGAAUAAGACGAACUGUCGUCCUUUUUGGAGUCGGAUUUAGGGGAAGUUUUCAACUGCUCUUCGUUCUGUAAACUUUCGCCCUAUGUCAUGGAUUUUUUUCUUUUUCAGAUUCGCUGCAGAUCGACGCUGUCGGCGCUCCUUGACUGCUUCAGAGUACCUUUCAUUCGACUGUCGAUAUUAUCGAUAUUUUCCGUUCGCUGAUACACCGAAGUAUUCGAAAAUAAAUAUUUUGAUGCUGGACGAAACAGACAGUAUAUUAAACAUGGGUUUCAAACCGCAGAUCAGAAAAAUCGUCGAAAGACACUCGAUGCCAAAAAUUGGCGAACGAUAAACCCUUAUGUUCUCUGCUACUUUCCCGAAGGGAAUUCAGAUUUCAGCCCGAGAUUUCUUCGAUAAUUAUAUAUUCUUAGCGAUUGUUCGUGUUGGUUCGACAAAAACGAGAAAAAAACCUGUUUAUUAGAUUUACUCGCCGCCCAUAAAUCCGAUCAGCCGGCGGCCGAUGCGUUGACAUUGAUCUUCGUAGAGAUGAAAAAGGCGCAUAAUCGUUAGAAGAAUUUAUAAUACACUGCGAGAGCUAUUAGAUUUGGAAGAACAACCAUCUUGGUGGCGACCGCUGUUGCGACUGGCAGUCUUGAUAUACCGCACGUCACAAUCCGUCGUCGAGUGUUGAACAAAAAAGUGGUUCAUCCAAGGCUGCUGCGGUCGUUUGUUACCGUAAGUGUAAUAAAAGGAGUGAAAUUGCACACUGCACAGUGGGAAAAUGGUGCAACUUGGUCCGUUGUUCGCUUCGUCUUUCAGAAUUCAAAGAUGACGCGUGUAUCAGAGCCGAACCUACAGAUAACGUUUCCUAGCAGCCUCCGAAAGAGGUGGAAUUUUCGAUCGACAAGACCGCUAAACAAAUAAUCGAAUCCUGCAAGGGUAAAAGUCUAAAUGGGGUAUCCGAACUGCAGUGCCUUCGCCACCGGAUCCUCCGCCUUCAACAUCAACUAAAGAACAACUACCUCAGACUGUGUUGAUAUUCAUACAUAAUAAAAAAACAAGCGUUUAGUCCGCAGCUGCAAGCAUUCUGCUAGAAACAUCCAACACCGAUUGUUCGGGAGCAUCGCUGCUGCUGUAAACUUAGAUUUGGGAUUAUUGUCGACCAAAAGUCUGGUUGAAGCGAAUCCCAAUCAUUUGAUCAAAGUACGAACGCAAGUACAGCAAAGCGGUGACGAAAAUUGGAAUCAGUCACACGCUCGUAAUGGCUGGGCUUGUAUUAGCCAUCGAUCGCACACAACUAUAGCCAAAAUAUGCUCAGUAUCAAGCGUCUAGUUUUCAAGAUUCGUUGAAGGAGAAACGAGAGACGCAUUCGUCCAAUGCGCAAGGUAGCUCUAACAAUUUAUCAGACUUGAUUCCAAAGAUUCGACGGGUAAUUUGAAAAGAAAAAAAGGCCCCUCCAAUUUUGUACAUGUGUAUGGUUUUCAUUGAAAAUGGUUGUGUUCCUUUGAAAAAUAUUGAUACUUCACCCCCCUCGCCCAUGAUACUCGUAAGAUGAUGAAUUUUGAGAUACCUUCAGGUUAAGAAUGAGCAAAUAUCUCAAUCAGCACCCCUAAAGAUCAGCAUCGUUGGAUUUUGGAUCAAAAAGGACGAAAAUUGAAGGAUUUGGAUAAAAAUACCGGAACCAAAAUAAGCAUACUGAGUAUUAACGAUUCGUCUGAUGAAAUCGCCGUCGUUGAAAAUCGAGAAAGUAUCGAAAAAGCGGUUCACGAAAUUCGUGUCAUUUCCGAUGAACAGUCUAAGAAAGCAUUUGUCAGAGUAAGCGUUCCGAAAAUCUAUCAUCCCUUCGUUACCGGCGCGAAUAACGAGAAAAUCAAUCAACUGAGUCACGAAACGAAUACCAGGAUCAAUGUACCUCCGCCUUCCGUCGAUAACACCGAAAUAACCAUAACUGGAGAAAAAGAAGGAGUAUUGAAUGCGAAAAAUCGAAUCAUGCAGAUAUAUCAAGAUAUGGAAAAAAAUUGUAAAAAUAUCAGCGUCGAAGUACCGAAAUGGCAACACAAAUACGUAAUCGGACACAACGGCUCAACUAUGGCUGAAAUCUUGUAAGAAACUGGCGUUAGUGUAGAAGUACCUGCGGCUGACGUCGUCGAUGACACCAUCACUUUACGUGCACCGUGCCAAGUUCUUGGAGAUGAUAAUUAUCAGCAAAAUGGGAUUUCUGAAAUCAACGGACACGCUGACGAUAAAGAUCAGGCUAAGCCUUGCGACACUGUUUAUAUUACAGUUAAACCAGAAAAUUGCGAGAGUGCUAAGCGCAGAGUCUUCUACAUAUUGUUCCAAUUACUUUAGAGCUAUAUCUUAUAGCUAUCACGGUUUGAUUAUUGGACCUAGCGGGAAAUUGAUCCGCAAAAUUAUCAAUGCGCAUGACUGACGUUCAAGUGGACGUCCCUCAGAUAGACAUGAAAUUAGAUUUAAUUGAAGUAAGUGUUUCUCUCACAGAUACAGCGAAGAAGUCAACAUAGAUCGUCGCGUUCACCCUAGAAUAAUCGGAGCUAAAGGUCGACAAAUCAGGAAGAUAAUGGAAGAGUUCGACGUUGAGAUCAGAUUCCCUCGCAAUACAGAUGCUGAUCCCGAUACCGCUGUGAUAUUCGCCGACGAAGAUAAGGUCGCUGAUUGUAAAGAUCAUCUGUUCACUUCGCAAGACGACUCUUUUCAAAACGUUCAUGAUGACGUGAAAGCGCCGAGUACAUCGGAUAUGAUAUUCGACGGCGGAAAUACUCGUAAUAAACCUGACGAAGCCGGGUUCGUCGUGAAAAAUGCCCAUUUGGAUCAAAAAGCACCAGAUAUGAGUAGUAUUGCGGAGUUUCCGUAUUUUGAAGCCGUCGAUAGUAGUACAACUUCCGCUCAGUUAGGGUCCGAAUCGAAACCUACUUGGGGGCAACGGCGUCAAGUGCCUUAGUGCCUUUUUCUUAAAUUAGGGUCCUUUUUUCUUUUUUUUUAAAUUAUAAAUUUAAUAAUUUAAUGCAUAAUUACUUCCAUUUUAAAGAUAGUAUUGUUGAAUCUUGAAAAAUGAAAAUAUGAUUGCUUUUUUCAUUUCUUUUCUCUGUGAAAUAAAUUAGUCAUUCGUUGCA